UGGACGUCUUCCAUUACACCGUCCACCCUUCUGUUCUUUCCUUUUCAACAUUCAUAACCCAUAUCUUCUCCUUUUCUUCUCUUCUUUAUCACUUCAAUGGAGAAGUACCAAAUUCUUUUCCCAGACUCAUCCGCAUCAUCGUCUUUUCCUUGUUCAUUAAUGAACAUGGCUAGCCCUCACACUGGUUACAAUAUCUUGCAUGGUGAUGAUCAGGGGAUGAAGAAAAUGAAUAAUAUUACAAGAGCUGAUGAUCAAGAUUUGGAUGCCAAGAAAACCAUUUAUGAUGAGAGUACUAGUAAUGGAGGCUCUGGUGAUUCGGAGGGUGAUAGAGUUAGAAUAGUAUCGGAGAAGAAAAAAAAAAAGGAGAGCAGGAGACAUAGAUAUGCAUUUCAAACAAGGAGCCAAAUUGAUAUACUAGAUGAUGGAUAUCGAUGGAGGAAAUAUGGGCAAAAAACAGUUAAGAACAAUAAAUUCCCAAGAAGCUAUUACAAGUGUACAUAUAAAGGUUGCAACGUGAAGAAGCAAGUCCAACGCAGCUCCAUUGAUGAACAAAUCGUGGUAACAACGUAUGAAGGGAUUCAUACACAUUCAACCCAAAAGUUGGAUGAGAACUUUGAAGAAAUCCUGAGGCAGAUACACAUGCAUACUACUUUCUAGAAUUAUAUAUUCAAAGACUUGCAAACAAAAAUAAUUUCGAUUAAAAACACGCAUCAAAAUUCAUCUGUAAAUUCACAUCUUUGUGUAAAUUAUACUGCGGGCAAAAAUGUGGAUUGACAAAUUUUGAGUUUUGAAUAUUUUUGUGUGAUUCAUUAUGUUUAUUAGUGGCAUAUUAGUUAUAUAUUGGUUUGAGCUGUGAUCUGAUCAGCCAUUGAGAACCUGAAAAUCAGAUUGGGAGACCUGAACAUUUGAACUACAAUGGCUCAGCCUGAACCUAUUUUAUCACUCUCUCUUACAGACACCUGUGGGUGGCCUGACUCCUUCACUCUGCCUUAUGACUAGUUUGGGUUAGCAUAUUCCUUGCUACUACAGAAGAGAAACUUGAAGCAUGCCUCAGUUUUGAUAUUAACAUAAAGAAGCUCCUUGACACAAGAACUCUAUAUUCAUCAUAACAUCAGCAAGUCAAUUUAUCAGCCCAAAUAUCAAGUUUCUUCAGUUAACAAUCAGGAUUAUCAGCCCAAAUAGCAACAGACAUAUACAUCCCUUGACAAAACAAGAAAAGAAACGAGUUCGUCAAAAUAAAAGUUGGAAAAACAGGAUCAUGUUGGGACUAGAAUCACUUCUGCAACUCCAUGGCCACCAGAAAAUGAUCUGAUUGAAAUGAUACCAAUUAGAGCAAUAAGAAACAAACCCAUUACGACUACCCAUCUGGCUCUGUCACCAUCCACAUCACGACCAAAUCCCCUCUCUUCCUGAGCCGCCAUAGCAAGCUGUUUUUGGUCUACACGGUCACCACACAGAGAAGACGAAGAAGACGAUGAUGAUGAUAUUGGUAUUGAUGAACUGAAUGAAGAUAACUGACAAUGAAAAGGAGACAACGUUACAUAGCUGCCAUAAUUCUCAUUCUCAUCAUCAGAAUCAUAAGAAAACACAGAUCUCACUUCACUCUCUUCAAACAAACCAUUAUUCAACACACUGCAUAUCUCGUCUCUUCCUCCAAAACCCACCUCUGUUACAUCCUUCUCUGCCUCAAAAAGACGCCGUCCCUUCAACUUUCCGGUCUGGAUGGCGGCCUUUCUCUCCCUGAUUAUUUCCUCGAUUGCAAAGUCCCUGUGGCUCACCUUCCAUGCUGUUUCCUCCUCGGACGAUGGAGACCUGCAAUGGUGGAGUGAUGACAUGAGACUUCUCGGGGAGUUCUCUAGCAGCCGAAGAGCAGUAACAAUGUUGGUGGAGGGUUGUGAUGAGAUUCUACGUAGAGUUCUGGGUUUUGGGUGUUUAAUGGAGUCCCAUUGUCGCUGCAAGUGCUUGAAUUGCUGGUGAAGUUUGUCAUCAGUUUGUGUAUUUUGUAAGCUUGGUCGUUCUCUUUCCAUGGUGGGGUCUCCUCUGCUUUCCUUGUAUCCUAUUCCAUCAUUGGUGCUGUAAGUGGAGCUUUUGAAUUAAAAGGAUAAAGAAGUUUUUUUUUUUCACCUGUUGCUCCUUUUUGAACUCAAUAGAUUGAACGAGAUAAUAGCAAA